GACGAACGCUGGCGGCGUGCCUAACACAUGCAAGUCGAGCGGUUCGAAAUUUAACAGUAAUGUUAAAUUUCGGAUAGCGGCGGACGGGUGAGUAACGCGUGGGCAACCUACCUAUAACUGGGGGAUAACACAGGGAAACUUGUGCUAAUACCGCAUAACAUCAUGAGAGGACAUCCUUUUAUGAUCAAAGGAGCAAUCCGGUGAUAGAUGGGCCCGCGUCCGAUUAGCUAGUUGGUGAGGUAAUGGCCCACCAAGGCGACGAUCGGUAGCCGAACUGAGAGGUUGAUCGGCCACAUUGGGACUGAGACACGGCCCAGACUCCUACGGGAGGCUG
rnacentral:rRNA from 1 species